rnacentral:rRNA from 1 species
GACGAACGCUGGCGGCGUGCUUAACACAUGCAAGUCGAACGAAGAGCGACGGAAGCUUGCUUCUAUCAAUCUUAGUGGCGAACGGGUGAGUAACGCGUAAUCAACCUGCCCUUCAGAGGGGGACAACAGUUGGAAACGACUGCUAAUACCGCAUACGAUCUAAUCUCGGCAUCGAGGAUAGAUGAAAGGUGGCCUCUACAUGUAAGCUAUCACUGAAGGUGGGGAUUGCGUCUGAUUAGCUAGUUGGAGGGGUAACGGCCCACCAGGCGAUGAUCAGUAGCCGGUCUGAGAGGAUGAACGGCCACAUUGGGACUGAGACACGGCCCAGACUCCUACGGGAGGCAGCAGUGGGGAAUCUUCCGCAAUGGACGAAAGUCUGACGGAGCAACGCCGCGUGAGUGAUGACGGCCUUCGGGUUGUAAAGCUCUGUUAAUCGGGACGAAAGGCCUUCUUGCGAAUAGUGAGAAAGGAAUGAACGGACCGGAAUAAAAA